GUCUAUGGCCAUGCUACCCUGAACAAGCCCGAUCCCGUCUGAACUCGGAAGCUAAGCAGGGUCGGGCCUGGUUAGUACUUGGAUGGGAGACCACCUAGGAAGACCAGGUGCUGUAGGCG
rfam:Pteropus alecto contig106750, whole genome shotgun sequence.